GGCCCUGUAGCUCAAUUGGUAGAGCAGUAGCCUCUUAAGCUAUUGGUUGAAGGUUCGAGUCCUUCCAGGGUCA
rnacentral:tRNA from 1 species